AGAUGACCUGUACAGGGUGAGGUGGGGAGAGGCAGUCAUUUUCCCUCCCAGUUAAGGCAUUUAGCAAUAUGUCCCAUGAGAGCAGAACAUGGGAACUUACUAAAAACUGUAUGAUCAGAGUCCCUCUCUCCAGGGGUGCUUUGUAGAUCGGCAUUCCUUCAUUACGGACACAUCUCAGGUCCCCAUGCUUGAUCACCUCACCUGCAGCAGGAAAAGUUUAGCUGUGAAACAGGAAGAUGGAGGGCAGCCUGGAGGCAGCAGUCUACCUUUUGGGAAGGCCGGAGAGCAGGCCCUGGUUCCCCCAUGCCAUCAAAGGGGUAACGUCGCAUCUGGCAGGAAGUCUGGUCCCAGCUGGAACGCUGCCUGCUGGAGGAACUGCCUGGGUGGGGGAUCAGUGGGACUCUGGCCCUGCUCUGGCCCCGUUGUAAGUGUAGUUUUAAAGAACAAUCGACCAGAACAAUCUGGGUAAACAGGUGAUACCUGCCCGCCUGCCUCCUCAAGUCAUUGACUGCAUCCGUCCCUCAACAGGGUGAAAGUCUGCUCCUCCAGCUGGAAACAGAGUUCAGAGCAAGAAAGGACCUCAAAGGAGUCUGACCACCCCACCUGGCAUGACAGCCCACCUGCCUACCCGUGUCCUCUGGCAGAAGACAUCAGGGUUGAACAGCCAGUAUCACGACUCCUCAAGCAUCUACUUCAAACUUACUGGGGGCUGGGAAGCCCUGGGACAAGCAUGGAAAACCACACGGAGGAGGGCGAGGUGACCCUGCCACCAGGGGGCGCCUAUCUGCGAGGCAGCAGGCCUUGGGUGACUCCUGGGGCACUUCCUUGACUGACUCCAAUCCCUAGCCGUCCAACUCCUCAGGGCGGCCAAAGGGCCUCUAGCAAGGUGGGCAUUUCAACUGCAGGCAAGGAGGAAGAGGAGAAACGAAGGAAGGAGCAAGAAGCCAGAACAAGAGCUGAAGAGGUGGAGGACCCGAGAAAGGGUGGAUAAACAGGAAACAGCACAGGGGAAUCCCCUGCAGUCCCUGCAUUUCCAUAAUUACUAAGCUAGGAAACGGGUUCCUUGGGGUUACCACCUCCUGUCCUUGGCUUCCUGGUGCCUGUGGCUGUGGGCAGCUGCAAGGUGCUGAGCACUGGAGCCCAGCCCACUCCAGGGAGCCCAGCCACAUCAACCAAGACCUUGAACUGCUUGCCCUUGGCCAAGGGCAAAGAGGCUACAUGAGGGUCCUGACACAACACAGGCGUCGGGCACUGGGGCCUAGCACUGUGUGUGGACUCCCUCCUCAAACUUUCCUACUCAGGUGAGGGAAGGAUCAUGGGAUGCAACCUACGGAAGGCGCUGUAUGUAUGUCCUGCAAACCUUGUACAGUUCUUUGGUGCUUUCCCCCAAUUCUUGAUUAAAUGUGUACAGACCUACAAGUAGCAAAUGAUAAUUAAAUGGGGUAGAUGUAAACAAGAGGCAAAUCAUGUAUAUAUAUUUAUGUAUCCUUAUGCUAUUUUUACUUUUACGAGUUUUUGUUAGUCUGAAAUUAUUGCCAAAAGUAAAAAAAAAUUUUAUCAAG